ensembl:lncRNA
GUCUCAGCCAAGGACAGGGCUCUGUGCCAACGUCACAACCAUAUUUGUGCCAAAUGAGACCAGAGGAGGGAUGGUCUGAAGAGGGACGGGUGGCAAAGAAGGAGUCCCGAGAGGUCCAACCCUUCAAGAGGAGGGAGAAAUAUCAAGUGACAAACAGAAGCAAAGAGCUGAAGAGGCGGGUGAUGAAUUUGGGUGAAAACCACAGCAACCAUCGCUCUCUGCAUGUCAGACACUCUCAAGAAUCCCUCUGUGUGGCAGCACGAGGCUCCAUUUUUCCCAGCUCUGAAGUGAAGCAGACAAGGCAGGGAUAACCCUUCAGUCCUGCUCUGCACUUCAACACAAAGAGCGUCAGUGCAGGCAAGUUGGUGCUUAACAGGGCUGAUACGUAGGUGCAACGUCUAAGGAUAUUUUUUUUUUCCUGUAGGUUUCUUUCCACAGAAGGAAUGCUAUUGAUUUUUCUUCUGCUGAUCUAAUCUGUCUGGAUUUCCCCUCCGUCAGCUGUGCUCCUGCGUCAUUUGUAGCUCAGCAGAGGCAGUGACGACAAGUGAUGCUGACCCAACUCCAGCUCCAAAACGAACCCAACCCUCGCAGAGCCCUCAGUCUCCCUUUGCAGAGCGAAGCUCUCUGCCUCUUCUGCUGUCAAGUGGGAUUAGAAAAAAAUAUCUUUUUUUUUUUUUCUCCUCUGCGGCCUGUCUGGCUUCAUAAAUCAUUCAUGUAAUUCCUGGCUUCUUCAAGAUGAAGUGGGUUCAGUUUAAAGCCAUUAUUAUUCUCUGUGGGACAGAUCUUCACUAGAUGAAAGAAUGGUUCUUGUUGGCUUUACGCACAGAUUUUGAGGCUGAAAUGGAUAAUUGUGUUUGUGUAAUUGGG